rnacentral:misc_RNA from 1 species
AAGGAGUCUAACAUCUAUGCGAGUGUUCGGGUGUCAAACCCCUACGCGUAAUGAAAGUGAACGGAGGUGAGAACCGCAAGGUGCAUCAUCGACCGAUCCUGAUGUCUUCGGAUGGAUUUGAGUAAGAGCAUAGCUGUUGGGACCCGAAAGAUGGUGAACUAUGCCUGAAUAGGGUGAAGCCAGAGGAAACUCUGAUGGAGGCUUGUAGCGGUACUGACGUGCAAAUCGUUCGUCAUACUUGAGUAUAGGGGCGAAAGACUAAUCGAACCAUCUAGUAGCUGGUUCCCUC